GCCUGGGUGGCUCAGUCGGUUGAGCGUUUGACUUCGACUCAGGUCAUUAACUACUGGUUCGUGAGUUCGUGCCCCGCAUCAGGCU
rnacentral:tRNA from 1 species